CAUUGGCCUCUAGGGGGAGCCCAUCGGCCGUCAACCUCUGAGGAUCUCCUCCUCCGGGCUGGCAGGCUGGCCCUUGCAGAGCUCAGGUUGGGCAGCAGCCAGAAUAAGGCUAUGGCAAGGUUUGAUAAAUUGGUGUUUUGUGCCUCCUGCACUGUGGGCAACUUCCUGACGGACAACUGCUGACUUUCUAGACUUUGAAGCUAAAAGAUAUGUAGGAGACAGAGGUCUCGUGGUUUUGGCUAAUAAAAGUCUUCCCUAGCUAACUGAUCACAGAUCAGUAAGCGUCCGGCUUUGCUGUGAAAAUGUCUCCCUCACUUCUGGUUUGUCUUACCAAUAACUGAUUAGUCAUUAGUUGAACUGUCUAAUGACUUAAAACAAUCUAACAACGCAAGAUGUUCUCCAUUGUGCACACCUAUAUUCUGCCUCUAAAGAUUUCCUGAAGAAAGAAGUCAUGCAAACCAGAAAGCAAGGUGUGUACACCUUGCAACUUGAAUUGGGUCAGAGAGCAGACCCCAAGGGUGGAAGGAGGAAAACAUCUGCCUUUCUCACAGCAGAACUCCAGCCGCAGUGACCAGGCCAGGCCAAUUGUCAAGAAGAAAUUUAUCUCAGUUAUGUUGCCAUCAGGAACUCAGAGGAUCUUUCAGCUCUUUGAAAACCAGCCAAGGACUACAUGUAUUCGAAAGUGCCUGCAAAUAUUACAAACAGCAAGAGGAAGAUGCCACUGGAAACUUGGGCUGACUAUGAGUAGUGUCGUUAUUUCCCGAGGUUCGCAGAAUGGUGCCUCUUCAGAGGGAGAAGAGCUUUGAGUCGGCUGAAGGGCUACAGGGAUAAAGACGGAGUGUUUAGCUGGAAGACUCAGAUACACCUGAUAGAAUACAGCAACAUACUCUGCAGAGGACAGAAAUGUCACACACACACACACACACACACACACACACACACACACACACAGAGGGCACUCUUUCUAGCCUGGAUAGUUCAUCUGGAAUAGAGGCCUCCACCAUUCUCAUAUGGAUGAUGUCAUUACCAAUGUCAAAGGGCUUUUGGAAGGGAGAGAGGUCUUCUGUAGCUACCUAAGGCCCUGAAAUUGAAAUAAAAG
rnacentral:lncRNA from 1 species